rnacentral:rRNA from 1 species
GGGAUUAGAUACCCCACUAUGCUUAGCCUUAAACCUAGAUGUUGAAUUUACAAGCAGCAUCCGCCAGGGUACUACAAGCGCUAGCUUAAAACCCAAAGGACUUGACGGUGUCUCAGACCCACCUAGAGGAGCCUGUUCUAGAACCGAUAAUCCCCGUUAAACCUCACCACCCCUUGUUUUCUCCGCCUAUAUACCGCCGUCGCAAGCUUACCCUGUGAAGGUCUAAUAGUAAGCAAAAUGGGUAAAUCCCAAAACGUCAGGUCGAGGUGUAGCUUACGAGGUGGGAAGAAAUGGGCUACAUUUUCUAUAUCAGAAUAAUACGAACAGCACCAUGAAAUUAGUGCUCGAAGGUGGAUUUAGUAGUAAAAAACAAAUAGAGAGUCUUUUUGAACCAGGCUCUGAGACGCGCACACACCGCCC